AUUGAACGCUGGCGGCAGGCCUAACACAUGCAAGUCGAACGAGUGGCGGACGGGUGAGUAAUGUCUGGGAAACUGCCCGAGGGAGGGGGAUAACUACUGGAAACGGUAGCUAAUACCGCAUACCAUCGGCUAUGCCCAGAUGGGAUUAGCUAGGAGGUGGGGUAACGGCUCACCUAGGCGACGAUCCCUAGCUGGUCGGAGAGGAUGACCAGCCACACUGGAACUGAGACACGGUCCAGACUACUACGGGAGGCAGCAGUGGGGAAUAGUGCACAAUGGGCGCAAGCCUGAUGCAGCCAUGCCGCGUGUAUGAAGAAGGCCUUCGGGUUGUAAAGUACUUUAAGCGAGGAGGCGUUACUCGCAGAAGAAGCACCGGCUAACUCCGUGCCAGCAGCCGCGGUAAUAC
rnacentral:rRNA from 1 species